CCCCCUCCAUUUUCCACACACCAAUCGAGCUCUUCGAGCUCUGCCUCUCUCUCUCUCUCCUGCCAUGUCCGGCUGCCACCUACCGUCGGCCGAUCUCCCUCACCGGAAUUCCACUAAUUAAAUCCUUGCGCCAUCGGGUUUGCCUCGACGAGGUGAACUCAUUUUCCUAGUUUCCCCUUCCUUUACCCUUCCGAAACCAACCACCACAGCCACCUCCUCUUGUUGCCAGAGCUAUACUCUUGCCUGCGCCGUUCCGGCCAUCUCCUUCACUCCCUUUGCCAACCACCGACUUCCCCGGAUGCGCAUCGUUCGGGAACACCAUCCUCUACCGGCGCAGUCAUAUCUUAGCCACCACAGCAUCGGCGCCCUUCCUCUCCUCCUCUCGGUUCCCUGGCUAACAGAGAGGAAGAAAACGAAGCAAGGAGAGAAGAACCGGAGGAAGAAGAGACAUAUGACAUGUGGGCCCCACUUCUAUAAAUGAGUCACGUGGUUUAAAGAGGUCGGUGGUUGCUGUAAGGAGGGAUUCUUUCAUAGAUUUGAAGUUCGAAGUGGGCGCGUUUCCAUCCAGUUUCGACCAGCAUUAUGUUUCCUUCAAGGAGAAAAUCCAUGGCUAUGAUACUCAAGAAAUAAAGACUGAUUUUGCGUUAAUCUCAGUAAAGGUGACUUGGUCGGCUUUGCUUUCUGGACUAGAGUGAUACCUCUGUUUCUGUAACAGAGUGGGCCAAGAGUGGCUAAAAACCUGCGGCUUACUAAACCUAGGUGCGGCAAACUUGGAUAGUAAAGUAUUGUAAUAAAUCUGUCAUUGUAAUUAAGCCCUCCGUCCCUGAAAAAAAGUACUUUUAGUAAUGCAUCUGAAUAAGUGUUUGUUGAGAUGCAUAGUCGGUCAAUCUCUCCGUCCCUGAAAAACUGAACAAGAACUUUUAGACAUGCAUAAUUAGUUUCGUCUCUGUAUUAUUACUUCAGCACUAGGGGUUGUAUUAAUUAUAUGGAGGAAUCUUCAAGGCACAACCGUAGAGUGGCUUCUCUGUGAUUUCUGCA